UGGCAGGGUCCCGGAACCAAGA
rnacentral:misc_RNA from 1 species